rnacentral:piRNA from 1 species
UACCAAAGACCAUCUAUCCACAACAGCC